CCGAAUCCAAUCCGGGUGAGAAAAAGAGCCGAAGCUGAUUGGAUUCUGGAAAAAAAAAAUUAGUAAAUCAAAAUUGAAGCAGAAGAAGAAAAAGUAGAGCAGAGUGCAAAUUUGGAGUGAAUGGAGUUACAGAGGAGGAGAGUAGCAGAAGCAAUCCAUGUCUUGAAUCACGAUUCUCAAUCUUCCAACAGAGUCGCAGCUAAUCAAUGGCUUGUUCAUUCAUUCAUUCAAAAAAAAAUGGCUUGUUCACUUCCAGCAAACUCUGGAGGCUUGGGAGAGAAACAAUUGGAGAAGAUCUUCCUCAUGUUUUAUUGUACAAAGUACAGUUUCUUAGCGAUACACUUCUAAAAACCAGAUCUUCUAAAUGCUGAUUUUGAAGUUGUCUCUGGCCUAGCAUGCUUGAUGUCUGAGAUAGGACAGGCUGUGAGUAUGGGACGUUAUUGCUAUUCACUUAACUUCUUUUUUUUUUUUCCUUUUUGUGAGACUCAUGUUGGUUUUGUUCCAAAUAAACUCACAACCUUUAGCAUUUUUUUUUUUGGGUCAGUUGCCAACACCAAGCAGAUUCCGCUUUGGUUUACGUUUGCAUUUUGUAAAAAUAUCUCGUGAAAAAAUGAAUAUGUUUUUCCUUUUUCUUUUCAUGAAAACAGAAACAUAAACUUUUGACAUUUUAAACAAACCAGGCCUCAACUAUAGAAACUUUCUACAGUUUUCUCAGCUUUAGUUGAUGCUCUUGUGCUGCGCGCUCACGUUACAUCUUAGAAACUUUCUUAAGUUCAAUGUCUCUUUCUGUUUUAUAACUAUAGAAGCUAUCAUAUCAAUUGCAGCAAUAGUAACUCCUUGGAGAAACCAGUUUCAGUGUAUUUUUAUGUAACCUUGAAAUAUUUCCUUCAUAUUCAUAUAGUUCGCAUUGUUGAUUUGGUCAACUAAUACGGUUAUUGUGGAAAUUUUGUUAAACUUGGUUUCAGCUCAUUUUCCUAACCAUCUUAGUCUCACCUUUCUUAUUUUUAACAACAGUCCUCUCGCUCUAUCUACACAAUAUUGGUUUUAGAGUUUGCCAAUUUCCUGAAUAUUAUCAAGUUCACAAAUUUUUGAACAACCGCGUUAUUAAUUGUACUGAUAGUCUUUUUUUUUGUGCUUCUAAAAUUCCUUGGCAAUGUAUCUUCAGGUCAAUGAGUUUACCUCCAGUGAUGAGAGUCCACCAGGGCUAGACCUACCUGAUGGCCAGUUGCAUUUUAGAAAUAAUCUUCUUGAGCUCUUGGUAGAUUUUUGUCAGCUACUUCAUCCUACAACAUUUGAGCGUAAGGUGUCCCCUCACUUAACAAUUCAAAAUCAUUACUUGAUUCAGUAUUUGCCACGUGACUAGUUUGUAUUAUGAAUCAGGCAGGUUUUACCCCAAGUUUGUUUUUUAUUUUGUUUGUUAAAUGCGAGGUUGAAAGCAGCGUUCGGUACUUCUUCCAUAUCUGAUCAGUUCUCACGGGUUCUAUUAGUGAACCAUGAUGCUCUGUAUAACGUUUGAGUCAUUUAGAUUACUUAUCCAUCCAUCGUCAGUUUAUGUUUUGAGAGUGGGGAUGAUAUCUCUAAGCUUGGAAGUUUACUGGAAUUGCAGUUUCUAUUGGUUUUCCUUGUCUUUACUAAGGAUUCUACCGUGUCAGGUUUCUGAGAUUAUCUUGCAAGAGGGAGAGGCUCUUGAAUUUUCAUUGAUCAUGCAACUGGUUUCUGCAUUCUCUGUCAGGCCAUCCAGUGAGCUCAAGGGGUUUAUAUGUGUUAUGUUGUUGGCUCCUUUUCAAGAUGGAUCUGUUUUUCCAAGUAACGGUAGACCCUUGCUAUUAUUUCUUGCAGGAAGGAUUUCUGAACCCAUUUGUUCACAUGCUUGUGCCUCUGCUCUUUGUAAAAUUUGUGAAGAUGUUCCUCCAGCUGUAAUGCAUGAAACAUCUAAUUUAGUCAUCUUAAUGCGGAUAGGAGAGGUUUCAGUUUCAUUCACCCCUUUCAUUAACUGUUAAGACAAGUGGAAUUUGGCGUUGGAAGAUGAAGAAGAAGUCAUUAGCGCUAUCACCGUGAUUCUCCAUUCUCGGCUCUGUUUCUAACAAAGAGCUACAAAAUAAAUUAUUAACUCAAUUGCUUUCGUCCAGUUAUGGAGUUCUCUCAAAACUUCUAAGUGUCCACAGAUGAUGCACCUCUGAGAUAGAAUUCAGACUAAUACCUCUGAUGAUUUUAAGUAGAUGAUGACGUCGAGUCUUCUAGUAGACAGAGUCCAGCCACUUACACAAGAAUGUUGAGCUCUGUUACAAGAGGUCUUUACAGGUCUGCUUCUGUGACUUCUGUAUUUACUAUCUUGCUUAAAUGCUUUGUAAUCGAGGAGGCAGCGUGUGAACUUCAAUUCAUCUAUGAAAACACUGCCAUACUUUUCAUUGUAUAUAUUUGUUCUGUUAACCUGCAUCAACUAUUUUUAAUAA